rnacentral:lncRNA from 1 species
AUUAAUUCAGUCAUCAAAGAUACUCCAAGUGAGUGUUACGAUUUGUAAUAUGGAUUUCAAAGCUGCAGUCUGUUGAUGUUCAGACAGUUUAAGAGGAUUUGCUCAAUAAGCAGAGAUUUGUCUUGCAACAAGACUGUCUGGGCCACCUACAGAAGAAAGCAAGUUACACUCCUCAGAUUUGCCUUUGAAGAAUUCUAGCAACUGGCUGUCUCACACCUACCCUUGCACAUGCGUUGCUGGUUUCGUUCAGCUACAUGAUCCCUUUGCUGUAACUAGGAUGGUCUCCUCACCACCACCGGCACCAGUCUGCCUGAUUCUGGAAGAGAGAGACAUCAAGUAAUUGCCUAGUUUGGACCACAUUCUAUAAGCAAGACUCUAGGUUUUCCCAGAGACUUGAGCAUCCAUGACAUGCUGAAAUAUAUACUGGGAAAAAGACCCUGCAGCCCCUUCAUGAAGGUAAAACAUUCCACAUCCAAUAACAUUUAA